ACGUAGGUGGCAAGCGUUGUCCGGAUUUAUUGGGCGUAAAGCGAGCGCAGGCGGUUUCUUAAGUCUGAUGUGAAAGCCUUCGGCUCAACCGAAGAAGUGCAUCGGAAACUGGGAAACUUGAGUGCAGAAGAGGACAGUGGAACUCCAUGUGUAGCGGUGAAAUGCGUAGAUAUUGGGAGGAACACCAGUGGCGAAGGCGGCCUGCUGGACUGUAACUGACACUGAGGCGCGAAAGCCAGGGGAGCAAACGG
rnacentral:rRNA from 1 species